UGCGGAGGAUCAUUAAUGAAAUGUUUGUCGAGAAGGGUUGUAGCUGGCCUCCAGGGGCAUGUGCACACCCUGAUCGCAUCCACCUCCCACACCUGUGCACCGCCUGUAGCUUGGGAUGAUCACGGAGCCCUGAUGGGCGACGAAUGCCCUCGUCUAUGAAUAUUCUCACACACGCUCAAAGUAUGACAGAAUGUACAUCAUAUUGCGUCUGAUAAACGUGACAAAUACAACUUUCAACAACGGAUCUCUCGGCUCUCGCAUCGAUGAAGUACGCAGCGAAAUGCGAUAAGUAAUGUGAACCGCAGAAUUCAGUGAAUCAUCGAAUCUUUGAACGCACCUUCGCGCUCCUUCGGUACUCCAGGAACAUGCCUGUUUGAGUGGUAACGAAAAUUCUCAACUGGCCCAGGGCUUUGUGGGCCUGGCAGGGGAAGUUGGGCUUGGAGGUAUUAUGCUGGGGCCAGAAAGGGGUUUUGCGGGCCCGCCCUGCCUGUUGGGUUCCCUUGAAAGGAAGAGCCUUUCCAUCCCUGGCAAAAGAUUGUUGAAGUGAUAAAUGUUUUCGUUCCCCGAGGAAACCGAAAAGGGAAAUUUUUGAUCCCCCCCGGGUGGCCUGCGUUUGGCAAAAUUGGCCCCAAAUCAGGUAGGGCUUCCCCCUGAAAUUAAACAAAUCAAUAAACGGGAGAAAAGAAAAUAACAAAGGAUUCCCUAGGAAAUGCGAGUGAAACGGGAAAAACU
rnacentral:rRNA from 1 species